CCGGAAUUCCUCUGAUGCGGCUUCCCAGGUAAUGGCCAGUGAAGGGGACCAGUGUCCCAUUUUCAGGGCAUACAUGUAGAUCAAACACCGAGGCAGAAGGCAGUGGCUCUGGGUAGUUGCGGAGGCAACUAAUAAAACCCCUCACGAAGGCAUCAAAGAGGGGCCAGAGCCUGUUUAGAUGGAUGUAUGGGCAAAGGUGUCAGAUAGUUACAACAAUUCCGUUUGUGACACACUCACACAUUUCACCCUCCCCCAACAGUCAUGUCACCUGGGUUUUAACUCCCAUGUGCCAGUCCAUCUCAGCUCUCUGCAUUCCCCACUCCCAGCCCCACCCCUGCAGAUACCUGGAGGGAAGGUGGGCUCCAAAGCCCCAGAUCAAUGCAAAAAGAAAGCUGCUGACAGCCAGCAAAUGCUCCUUGCACUCAGUAGGUACAUCAUCAGUGUCAACCUGGGAUGGGUUCAGAGAGCUGCUUUUUGAGGACUUGAAGCUCUGGGCCACAGGAUCACUAUAGCUGAGGUCCUCUGCUAAGGUCACCAUGGCCAGAAUAGGAGCCCAGGUGGGGGUCGAGCAGACCACGCAGGAUACGGGCCAGGCUGGUGACUUCGGCCACACCUGGGCAAACGGCCUGCUGCCCAUGAGCCUGCAGCAGAGAGCUGACACCCUGGCGGGUGAGGAAUUGGAUCGCCGCUGGCACCAGUCCUUCAGCCAGGCAGUUGAGCUCAGUGACUGUCUGGGGCUGCAGGCGGUACUCAUGGGGCAGGGCUGCCAUCAGGACAUUAAGCAUGCUUUGCCAAGUCUGCUCCCCACCACACCACACGAGGGCACACUGACUUGUCACUGUGGGGGACACACCUUUUGCAUCUCCCACCUCCAUCAGGAGGAAGGUACCUGGGGGUUGUGCUAUCUGCUGACCAUUGGGGAGGCUGAGCUGGGGGGCAUCGCUCAGGAGGCAAGUGAUAGAGUCCAGCCAGGCAGCACUGGCGACUCCAUCACAUAUUAUCCAGUGCUGGAUGGCCACCGAUUCCUGUGAUGGCCCCUUUGGGCCCGCAGUCUUACAUGGACUGGCUGCAUGAAACAGCCUGGGUAAGACGCCAUGGUGCCAGCAGGGGCCCUCGAGCCAUCCCAGGAACUCCUGCGGGCUGAGGACAUUAGGAUACAGAAACCGAAAGUGGAGACGGCAGACAACGCAUUAAGGCAGGAAAGGCAGUGAGGAACUUCUAUCAGUUGACUGCAAUCAAGGUCAAGACCUUGUCCUUAGGCUAAAAAGUUAUAUUUAUAUGUUUUAAGCUAAAAUAAAAAUCUUAAGCCAUA